AGCCAUGCAUGUCUAAGUAUAAAUGGUAUACUAUGAAACUGCGAAUGGCUCAUUAUAACAGUUAUAGUUUAUUUGGUAAUCAAACUUACAUGGAUAACCGUGGUAAUUCUAGAGCUAAUACAUGCUGUUGCGCCCGACUCACGAAGGGCCGUAUUUAUUAGAUAUCAGCCAAUAAGCUUCUGCUAUUGUGGUGACUCAUAGUAACUUAACGGAUCGCAUGGGCUUGCCCCGCGACAAACCAUUCAAGUUUCUGCCCCAUCAGCUUUCGAUGGUAGUGUAUUGGACUACCAUGGCUUUCACGGGUAACGGAGGAUUAGGGUUCGAUUCCGGAGAGGGAGCCUGAGAAACGGCUACCACUUCCACGGAAGGCAGCAGGCGCGUAAAUUACCCAAUCCUGACUUAGGGAGGUAGUGACAAGAAAUAAUGGGUCGGGGCUGCCCCGGGACUGCAAUGAGACGAAUUUAGACCCCUUAUCGAGGACCAAUUGGAGGGCAA
rnacentral:rRNA from 1 species